ACGACUCAUACUACCAUACAAGACACGGAGUUAGACCUUCUUGGUGAAAGAUGGAUUUGAUCGUUUAUGAGGAUUUAAAAACUGUUGUUAAAACCAUAUUGUCCAUAAUCUAGACACCCGAAAUUUCAGUUUUUGCAUCUUAUGCGGUUAUUUCUCCCUUAAUUUAUUUAAGGAUGCCUGUGGAAGCUCCGGAAGCUGAAAAUAUCAAAGUUGUGGUAAGAUGUCGACCUAUGAAUGAAAGCGAAAUAGCGGCGAAUUACAGAAGCAUAGUUAAGGUAAAUUCAAUUGAAGGAACUGUGACUCUGUGUAAUCCAAGUUCUUCAGAAUAUGAUCCUCCAAAGACAUUUACAUUUGAUACAGUAUUUGGAACAGACUCAACCCAGUUGGAUGUAUAUAACUUGGCGGCUCGGCCAAUUGUUGAUAAUGUACUGGAAGGUUAUAAUGGUACUAUAUUUGCAUAUGGGCAGACUGGAACAGGAAAAACUUUUACAAUGGAAGGCAAUCGAGAAAUUCCUGAACAGAAAGGAAUUAUUCCAAACUCAUUUGCACACAUUUUUGGACAUAUAGCAAAAGCUGAAGGAGAUAAAAGGUUUCUUGUCCGUGCUACAUAUUUAGAGAUAUAUAAUGAAGAAGUUAGAGAUCUUCUUGGAAAAGAUCAAAGUAUACGCUUAGAGGUGAAAGAGCGCCCAGACAUUGGAGUUUAUGUUAAAAAUCUGACAGGUGUGGUUGUAAAAAAUGCUGAUGACUUGGAUCGUAUCAUGACACUUGGAAGCAAAAAUAGAGUUGUUGGAGCAACUAACAUGAAUUUGCACAGCUCUAGGUCACAUGCAAUAUUUAGUAUUACCGUUGAAAGUUGUGAAGAAGGAUUUGAUGGAAAGGAGCACAUUCGAGCUGGAAAACUGCACUUGGUGGAUCUAGCAGGAUCAGAGCGUCAGAGUAAAACUGGAUCAUGUGGUCAACGCUUGGUUGAAGCAACAAAAAUUAAUUUAUCUUUGUCUAGUUUAGGGAAUGUUAUUUCUGCUCUUGUAGAUGGAAAAAGCACCCACAUCCCAUACAGAAAUUCUAAACUUACAAGAUUGUUACAAGAUUCUUUAGGAGGCAAUUCAAAGACUCUUAUGUGUGCUAAUAUUGGGCCAGCUGAAUACAAUUAUGAUGAAAGCUUGAGUACUUUGAGAUAUGCCAACAGAGCUAAGAACAUUAAAAAUAAGGCACGCAUUAAUGAAGAUCCUAAAGAUACUAUGCUUAAAAAGUUUAGAGAUGAAAUUGAAGAGCUGAAAAAGCAAUUAGAAGAUGCUAGUGAAGGUGGUACUGAAUCUGGAGAAGAUAUAUCUGAAAAAGGAGAUGAAGAAAUAAAACCUAAAUCUCAUAGAAAGAAAACAUACUCAGAAGAAGAGGUAAAAAAAAUGAAAGAACAGAUUGAAUUAGACAGAAAAGCCCUAGCUGAACGAAAAGACCUUCUAGAGGAGGAGCGUCAAAAAAUCAGCAAUGAAUUAGAAAAAAGAGAAAAGGACUUAGAAGGAAUUAGACUGGAUCAUGAUACUUUGCUUCAUAAACUUCAAAGUUUGGAAAAACAAAUUAUAAUAGGUGGUGAAAAUCUUCUUGAGAAAGCUCAGGAACAGGAAAAGUUAUUAGAGGAGAGUGCUAAAGAGCUGGAAGAGAGAAAGAAUAAACAGAUAGAGCUGAGGAAAGCUUUGGAGGAAAAAGAGACAGAGCGAUUAAAUAUUGAAGAAAAGUAUUCUAGCCUUCAAGAAGAAGCUGCAGGAAAAACAAAAAAGUUGAAAAAAGUCUGGCAAAUGCUUCUUAGUGCAAAGAAUGAGCUUAACGAUCUCCGACAAGAACAUCAGAGAGAAAUGGAAGGUCUGCUCGAAAAUAUUCGACAAUUAGACAGGGAACUUAGCCUCAAUAAGCUUAUUAUUGAUAUGUUCAUUCCUCCCGAGUAUCAAGAUGUUAUUGAACAAGCAGUCCAAUGGAAUGAAGAUAUUGGCGAAUUUCAGUUGAAAUGUGUUGCAUAUACAGGCAAUAAUAUGAGGAAGCAGCUUCCAGUUGUUGAUAAAGAGAAAAAGAAAGAGGUUGAUAAUCUAGAUCUGUCACAUCUUUAUUUGUCUUAUAACACCGAUAAUGUAACAAGAAUACCUACUCGCUUGAAAUCAUCUCGUGGAAAGCCUGGACGUUCUCAUUCUUCUAGGCCAAAAUCUUCAAGAAAAUGAAGAAAAUUUUAUUUAGCUUUUCAAGUAUAUUAGCUUUUAUCUGUGUUAAUUUAGCUUCAUUGUAGCCACAAAGUGCUGGAGGAAUUCAACUGACUUGGCAUUAACUUUGAAUAAUUUACUUCAAAAGAAAGAAAAACUUUUUUCCAUUUCUGCAGAUGCAUAUGUGUCUUGAAACAUAGUAAGCUUCUUUACUGAAAUUUAUGCUACACAGAAUUAAAUUUUGCACAUAUGAAAGCUCAAAUUGACAUGCAUCUCUUGCAAUCCUCAAAUUUCCAUAUUUAAUGAUUCCACAAAAUAUAGUUAAUAUGUUUCUAUAUAUUGUAGAAAGACCAAAAUCUUCACCUUCAGACCCCCACCCCCAUUUUUACAAAAUUUCAGAAUGGAGAAUACUCUGGGAAAAACAGAAAGAUGUCAUAAAAUCAAUUUUUCUUCUAUGUCACCAGCUGACAAAAAAAAAAAAAAAAAAAACACCAUGGCCAAUGAUGAUGCAUUGAUUGAUGUUAGCCAUGAGCAUACUUUUGGUGCUUCAAUGGUUGUGGAGGUCAGAAGGAAAGGUUAACAUUUUAAUAUUUUUCUAUCUAUAGCCUAAACAAAAAGGGAAAUCCUAAAACAUUUGUUUGGAGUCGGAUGUUGCUAAUGCUAGUUUUCCUUUGUUGGCAUUAAAAUUAGAUUUGAUAAGCACAGCAAACUGCACUCUUCCGUAACUAAUUUGGCAGAAAUUUUCAGUUGAAGUAAUAAGAAUCAAAGCGUGACAUACGACAUCAUAGGUUCAACGUUAUAUAUUACCUAUAUUAGUUUUUGAUGAAAAUCUUGAAAAACAGAUUGCUAAUUUUCCAUUGUUUAAAUGCCUGUUUCUUCUUUUAAUUGAUUCUCAGGUUGUUAUUUUUUGGUUAAUUUAUUCAUAUUUGUUGUUAGGUGCUUUCUCAUGUUUGGAUUGUUUACUUGUACAAAUUAAGCUGGUGAUUUAUUUUUAUUAUAUCUUUCUUUAUUUUUUAAUGCUUUUCAAUUAAUAUCCUAUUCUAAUUGUUAAACUUAUUUCACUUUUGUU